AGGGAUCGAGUUUAAUCAGUUGUUUCGGGGCCGAAGUGCGGCACCCAUGUGCCGCCUGCUCCAUCUCAAAAUGGAAGCCGGGAUUGGAACCUCUCUCCCUGUUACCAGGCCGCAUCAACCACAACUUGCAUCCAUCUAUCGGAAUAGGAAUAAUGGUAGAAGGGGGUAGAAUAAUCAACGGAUUAAUGCUUAGCUUCUGGAUAUUUCUGCCGUUCAUAAAGUAGAAGCAUAUCCAAGGGAAGACCCCAUCUACUGCAGUGAGGCCAGUGGGGGCAGCAACAGCUGCUGGCAGAAAAACCCAAAAACUGUAACUGAAAAACGAGCGGAUGUUGCAAGUGCAAUAAACAACUCCCCCUAAACCGCCCCCAAAAAUUGCACCCUAAAGAGGAGCCAGAGUGCAGGAGACGGGAGAAGGAGCACAGAACUCUCUGCGCAAAUUGAAAUGAAGCGCAGGAAAGGAUUCCCAAAAAAAUGAAACCAAUUAAUUGUGGAGCCAUUCUGGUGGGCGUGGCUGGAAAAGGAUCACUCAGAGAGGGUAAAGAGGGGGCUGUUGCAAAGAGGGCGUGUGGCUAAUGGCUGCAGUGCAUUAAAGUUCCCUUGCAAUUA